GUUACUAACGACGAUAUGCUUUGGGGAGCUGUAAGUAAGCUUUGAUCCAGAGAUUUCCGAAUGGGGAAACCCAGCAUGAGUUAUGUCAUGUUAUCGAUAUGUGAAUACAUAGCAUAUCAGAAGGCACACCCGGAGAACUGAAACAUCUUAGUACCCGGAGGAAGAGAAAGAAAAUUCGAUUCCCUUAGUAGCGGCGAGCGAAACGGGAAGAGCCCAAACCAACAAGCUUGCUUGUUGGGGUUGUAGGACACUCUAUACGGAGUUACAAAGGACGACAUUAGACGAAUCAUCUGGAAAGAUGAAUCAAAGAAGGUAAUAAUCCUGUAGUCGAAAAUGUUGUCUCUCUUGAGUGGAUCCUGAGUACGACGGAGCACGUGAAAUUCCGUCGGAAUCUGGGAGGACCAUCUCCUAAGGCUAAAUACUCUCUAGUGACCGAUAGUGAACCAGUACCGUGAGGGAAAGGUGAAAAGCACCCCGGAAGGGGAGUGAAAUAGAACCUGAAACCGUGUGCUUACAAGUAGUCAGAGCCCGUUAAUGGGUGAUGGCGUGCCUUUUGUAGAAUGAACCGGCGAGUUACGAUUUGAUGCAAGGUUAAGCAGUAAAUGUGGAGCCGUAGCGAAAGCGAGUCUGAAUAGGGCGUUUAGUAUUUGGUCGUAGACCCGAAACCAGGUGAUCUACCCUUGGUCAGGUUGAAGUUCAGGUAACACUGAAUGGAGGACCGAACCGACUUACGUUGAAAAGUGAGCGGAUGAACUGAGGGUAGCGGAGAAAUUCCAAUCGAACCUGGAGAUAGCUGGUUCUCUCCGAAAUAGCUUUAGGGCUAGCCUCAAGUGAUGAUUAUUGGAGGUAGAGCACUGUUUGGACGAGGGGCCCCUCUCGGGUUACCGAAUUCAGACAAACUCCGAAUGCCAAUUAAUUUAACUUGGGAGUCAGAACAUGGGUGAUAAGGUCCGUGUUCGAAAGGGAAACAGCCCAGACCACCAGCUAAGGUCCCAAAAUAUAUGUUAAGUGGAAAAGGAUGUGGCGUUGCCCAGACAACUAGGAUGUUGGCUUAGAAGCAGCCAUCAUUUAAAGAGUGCGUAAUAGCUCACUAGUCGAGUGACACUGCGCCGAAAAUGUACCGGGGCUAAACAUAUUACCGAAGCUGUGGAUUGUCCUUUGGACAAUGGUAGGAGAGCGUUCUAAGGGCGUUGAAGCAUGAUCGUAAGGACAUGUGGAGCGCUUAGAAGUGAGAAUGCCGGUGUGAGUAGCGAAAGACGGGUGAGAAUCCCGUCCACCGAUUGACUAAGGUUUCCAGAGGAAGGCUCGUCCGCUCUGGGUUAGUCGGGUCCUAAGCUGAGGCCGACAGGCGUAGGCGAUGGAUAACAGGUUGAUAUUCCUGUACCACCUAUAAUCGUUUUAAUCGAUGGGGGGACGCAGUAGGAUAGGCGAAGCGUGCGAUUGGAUUGCACGUCUAAGCAGUAAGGCUGAGUAUUAGGCAAAUCCGGUACUCGUUAAGGCUGA
rnacentral:rRNA from 1 species